rnacentral:misc_RNA from 1 species
GAUGAAGAACGCAGCGAAAUGCGAUACGUAGUGUGAAUUGCAGAAUUCCGUGAAUCAUCGAAUUUUUGAACGCAAAUUGUACUUUUCAGUAUUCUGGAAAGUAUGCUUGGUUGAGGGUCAUUAAAAUAACAUUCGUGAAUUUUUUUUCGCGGAUUUGAGUUUUCCAGUAUUUUUUAUUUAUAAAUAAAUGUUGGUAACUUUAAAAUUAUUUUAUCUCUUGGUUACAAGUUAAAAACGUACUAUAUGUGUGGUUCGUUGAUAUCUUGUCCAUCUAUAUAUAUUAUGUUUGUACUUGGUCCACAUUGGGUUCUGUGUGAACAUAUAUUUUUUUUUAUGACCUCAGCUCAAGCAAGAAAACCCGCUGAACUUAAGCAUAUCAAUAAGCGGAGGA